rnacentral:rRNA from 1 species
GGACCCGCACAAGUAGUGGAGCAUGUGGUUUAAUUCGAAGAUACGCGCAGAACCUUACCAACACUUGACAUGUUCGUCGCGACUUUAAGAGAUUAAAGUUUUCGGUUCGGCCGGACGAAACACAGGUGCUGCAUGGCUGUCGUCAGCUCGUGUCGUGAGAUGUUGGUUAAGUCCCGCAACGAGCGCAACCCUCACUUUUAGUUGCCAUCAUUAAGUUGGGCACUCUGAAAAGAACUGCCAGUGAUAAGCUGGAGGAAGGUGGGGAUGACGUCAAGUCCUCAUGGCCCUUACGUGUUGGGCUACACACGUGCUACAAUGGCUGGUACAGAGGGCUGCGAACCCGCGAGGGGCAAGCG